rnacentral:tRNA from 1 species
GGCUGGUUAACUCAGUCAGCAGAGUGUAGCUCUAACAACGCUAAGGUUGCAGGUUCGAUUCCUGUUCGGUCC